AGUGAACGCUGGCGGUAGGCCUAACACAUGCAAGUCGAACGGCAGCACAGUAAGAGCUUGCUCUUACGGGUGGCGAGUGGCGGACGGGUGAGGAAUACAUCUGAAUCUACUUUUCGUGGGGGAUAACGUAGGGAAACUUACGCUAAUACCGCAUACGACCUACGGGUGAAAGCAGGGGAUCUUCGGACCUUGCGCGAUUGAAUGAGCCGAUGUCGGAUUAGCUAGUUGGCGGGGUAAAGGCCCACCAAGGCGACGAUCCGUAGCUGGUCUGAGAGGAUGAUCAGCCACACUGGAACUGAGACACGGUCCAGACUCCUACGGGAGGCAGCAGUGGGGAAUAUUGGACAAUGGGCGCAAGCCUGAUCCAGCCAUACCGCGUGGGUGAAGAAGGCCUUCGGGUUGUAAAGCCCUUUUGUUGGGAAAGAAAAGCAGCAGGUUAAUACCCCGCUGUUCUGACGGUACCCAAAGAAUAAGCACCGGCUAACUUCGUG
rnacentral:rRNA from 1 species